rnacentral:snRNA from 1 species
GUGCUCACUUUGGCAGCACAUAUACUAAAAUUGGAAUGAUACAGAGAAGAUUAGCAUGACCCCUGGCAAGGAUGACACACAAAUGCAUGAAGUGUUCUGUCAGUAA